CUGUCAAAAUCACAAUAUGAAACUGACAGCAGUAGUUUCAUAACAAGAACAUAACCUCAAAACUACAGAUAUAAACGAAAAAAUGCGAUUAAUUAACUUAUUCAAGUCUUUGAAACUUAGUUCUCAAGUGCAGAUUGUGCGUUGUAGUUCUGAAUAUGUGCCGAAAGCGUUGCGGAGUUUGAAAGCGAAGUCUACACGGAAUACGGUGCAGUUUUAUGUGGAUGCCUUCAGAGUGCGAGCAGUUGGUGGCUCAGGCGGCGAUGGCUGUAUAUCAUUCUUGAGUGCGUGGUGUAAGGACCACGCAGGACCUGACGGAGGAGACGGCGGGAACGGCGGCCAUGUUAUUUUUCAGGCGACAUAUGCUGCGAAGAGCCUGAACCACUGCAAGUCCCUAGUGCAGGCGCGGCCGGGCGAGCGCGGGUACAAUAAGGAGUGCAAUGGGAAGAAUGCACAGCACGUCAUCGUGCCUGUACCUAUUGGUACCAUAAUCCGGGACGAGACAGGGCGUGUAGUGGGCGACCUGAGUUCCGAGGGGGUGAUGUUCGUAGCGGCGAGGGGGGGCGCGGGGGGAAGGGGGAACAAGUUCUUCCUCACUGACACUGAACAGGCGCCGAGUGUGGCGGAGUUGGGCGCGGCGGGCGAGGCCAACGUGUAUACGCUGGAAGUACGGUCCAUGGCCCACGUGGGGCUGCUCGGGUACCCCAACGCCGGUAAGAGCACGUUACUCCGCGCGUUGACCCGCGCGCGCCCCACCGUGGCCCCCUACCCCUUCACCACGCUGCGCCCGCAUAUAGGAAUGGUGCCAUAUGAUGACUACGAGCAGGUAGCGAUAGCUGACUUACCGGGUUUGAUUCCCGGCUCGCACAAGAACUAUGGUUUAGGUAUCCAAUUCCUCCAACACGCCGAACGCUGCCGAGGCCUUAUAUACCUACUGGACGGGGCGCAGGACCCUGAAGACCAGUACGAGGUGCUUCGCUAUGAGCUCUCUCAGUACAGCGGAGCCCUAGCGCUCCGCCCCUCAACGCUAGUUGUAAACAAGAUAGAUCUACCCGAAGCAAGAAAGGUGUUUGAGAGAGCGAAAGAGAAAUUGCCUGUAAUAGGCGUGUCAGCGAAGACUGGACUGAAUUUGGAUGUUUUAUUGCAACUUGUUAGAAAAAUGUAUGAUGGGAAUAGUUAAUCGUUUUUCUUUUAUUUAUUCAAAGUCAAAGUCAUAAUUGUUUAUUUCAAAUAGACCAGGGGCCUUAGUCUACUAUUACAAUUGGACGGAGCUAUACAACCUACAUAGCUCCGUCCCUCUCGCACUGCUCAGUGAUCGACCAUUCUGACACAAUUGUAAUAGCAGACUAAGGCCC